GUUGAGAUCUGGUGCUUUGUGGUGGGGGUCGGAGAUCAGACUUGAGUCGUCUAUACUCGGGACCUGGACUAAGAAGGUUAGACCUGUGAGUAUGCACACCUCAUUUUUCGGUCUGCUCUCUCUAACCAACGCGAGCAGGGUUAGACCGGAUUCACUACGAGCACUGAAUCGAAGCUCCUCGGCGGAGGUUAGAGCCGCAGGAGAGAGGGACAGGGACUUAGGAUGUCGGAAUUAACACCGGUAGGCAACGCCUACUACCACGAGCGUCGGCGUCGCUCGCGUGGCAGGGAGGUUCCAACCUUUGCGGUCUAGAGUCGACAAUGGACGGCUGUAGGUGCAAGUCGGGGUGCGUAGCAGAAGUCUCGUAGACGUUGUUUCUUAUUACUCUCCUUUGCCUCUGCGAAGGCCUUAGACAGGUUUCCGGGUCGUAAUUAGCGGCCUCUUCAAAGAGGCCCGUUGCCGCUUUUGGGGUGGUGGCAGGAACUAGAGUUACAGCUGCCACUACGAUGAUCGCUACGCUUUUGACGUCCACGGGGUUCCUCACGACAAGAAGUUAGAACGUGAGAGUGUAGGCCGAACGACGAACGUAAUCCAGAGGAAGAAGCACUCCGUAGUGUGCAACGUAGAAGUUUACCUGACGGUAAACGACUGGGACGCCGGCAUAGUAAGUUAAAACUUUGGACCGUAGAGCUCAACCAGCGGCCUGAUCAUUAUAACUAUAGCAGAUGGUCUAUGUAAGACGAUGUCUGUACCGGGCUAAAGUCUCUAAGGUCACUUCGACGUUUAUGUGUCUAGGAAUGAAGGGAACUCAGAGACCUAAUGUAACAUCAACGAACAGAGGGACCCUAUUCGCUCCUCAAGGACAAAGCUCCCCGUAACUACGGUUAAAAACCUAACUUAACCUAUUCACGAGAUCGUUGACCACAUAAAAAGCCACAAGAAGUGAACCCGUUGCCGUCCUCUAUAAGUAAACGUUAGACCCGUUGUAAACAACCGGAACGGAUACCGAAUCGUUGGUAUCGAAGGAGUUCGUAGUAUCAGGGUUACCGAAGAGUGAGGUAUUUGUUAUAAUAACCUCCAAAUGAAACCGCGAAGUCCCUGUCGAGUCUGUCUCUUUACAUCUAACCUGUCAUAAAGGGGAACUUGUCUUCAAAAGUAAGCGUUGAAGAUGAACAUCGUGAUCGUAUCUUACAAAUCAAGAAUGACCUGAGCAACAAUUUAGUCAAUUACGUACAUAAUAGGCACCCAUUCAUUAGAAGUUUAGUAAACCACCACUUCAUUCGAUUGAUCACUACUGACAAAA
rnacentral:rRNA from 1 species